rnacentral:rRNA from 1 species
GACGAACGCUGGCGGCGUGCUUAACACAUGCAAGUCGAACGAAGAGCGACGGAAGCUUGCUUCUAUCAAUCUUAGUGGCGAACGGGUGAGUAACGCGUAAUCAACCUGCCCUUCAGAGGGGGACAACAGUUGGAAACGACUGCUAAUACCGCAUACGAUCUAACCUCGGCAUCGAGGAUAGAUGAAAGGUGGCCUCUACAUGUAAGCUAUCACUGAAGGAGGGGAUUGCGUCUGAUUAGCUAGUUGGAGGGGUAACGGCCCACCAAGGCGAUGAUCAGUAGCCGGUCUGAGAGGAUGAACGGCCACAGUGGGACUGAGACACGGCCCAGACUCCUACGGGAGGCAGCAGUGGGGAAUCUUCCGCAAUGGACGAAAGUCUGACGGAGCAACGCCGCGUGAGUGAUGACGGCCUUCGGGUUGUAAAGCUCUGUUAAUCGGGACGAAAGGCCUUCUUGCGAAUAGUGAGAAGGAUUGACGGUACCGGAAUAGAAAGCCACGGCUAACUACGUG